rnacentral:rRNA from 1 species
AUUUAACGCUGGCGGCAGGCCUAACACAUGCACGUCGAACGAGUGGCGGACGGUUGAGUAAUGUCUGGGAAACUGCCUGAUGGAGGGGGAUAACUACUGGAAACGGUAGCUAAUACCGCAUACCAUCGGAUGUGCCCAGGUGGGAUUAGCUAGUCUGUGGGGUAAAGUCGCACCUAGUCGACGAUCCCUAGCUGGUCUGAGAGGAUGACCAGCCACACUGGAACUGAGACACGGUCCAGACUCCGACGGGAGGCAGCAGUGGGGAAUAUUGCACAAUGGGCGCAAGCCUGAUGCAGCCAUGCCGCGUGUAUGAAGAAGGCCUUCGGGUUGUAAAGUACUUUCAGCGGGGAGGCGUUACCCGCAGAAGAAGCACCGGCUAACUCCGUGCCAGCCGCCGCGGUAAUUC